rnacentral:lncRNA from 12 species
CCAUAAAAGAUAAAAUCCUAAAUUGUUUGACAGAGGAUGUGUGCUCUGAGGAAUGCUCUGUGCUGGAGGCAUUUGGGGCUGUGGCAAUGACUGGAUCAUGGAUCCCAGACUGGUUUGGGUUGGGAGGGAUUUUAAAGAUCAGAUCCAUGGGAUGUGACUUUCCACUAUCCCAGGUUGCUCCAAGCAAUGCCCAACCUGCCCUUGGACACUCCCAGGGAUCCAGGGGCAGCCACAGCUUCUCUGGGCACCUUAUUCCAUGUCUCUGGUCAGGAGAGGGGAAGGAGCUCUGGAGCUCCACUCCCUGAUCCUGCAGGAUCCAGCUCAGCCCCUGGGUGCACCCACAGCAUCAUCCCAUGGUGAGGGAUCAUCCCACGUGCUGAGGAACCUCUGGAAUAAUCUACCCCCAGGUUAGGAGAGAAGAAUAUCAUCAGGAGCAGGAGCUGUCACGGCCAAGUUGUGUUUGCAGGUUGCUGGGAAUGAGCAGAGCCUGGCUGGCUGCAGCUGGGGCUCCUCUUUCCUGGGGUUCGCUCAGGAUCGUGUCAGAUCUCUCCCUGUAUUCCCAAGGUGGGAAUUUCAGCCUCUCGCAGCUGCAGUGCCUGUCCCCACACCAAGGUUUGUCACCAGCAUGGCUUGUCUUCAACCCUCUGUGGGCUCAGCCCCCCUCACAAGCUCUCCUGCCCCUCGAAAAUCCCCCUUUAAAACUCCCCAUUUCCCACUUCCUCCAGCCUCCCCAGGUUUUCUAUCUGUUGACCAAGACAUUGCUUAAAAUAUCCUUUUUUUUUUUUUUUUUUUUUUUUUUUUUUUUUUUUUUUUUAAAAGGGGGGGGUUUUUUUUUUUUUUUUUUUUUUUUUUUUUUGUUCCUCCCCUCAAAACUGCACAGCUUCAGCCAACGUGUUUUGACUGCGCUGAUGAGGUUUUUCAUGGAAAUUGCUGGCAGCUGGAAAAGGCAGCCCCUGCCUAGGAGGGAGCCAGGGCUGUGUCCCAGCCAGCCCCAGGCCAGGAGCAUCCUGCUUCCCUGCUCCCUGCACCCCCCCAGGGAUGGAUCCAGCUGGGAUCCUGGCCAGCAACCAGCCAGGAGCCCAAAUCCCACGGGAAAUCCUGGAAUUGCAUCGAUGCCCUCGCGGAUCUGGUUAAGCUGAGGAGACACCAUUCCCGUUUCCAGCACAUCCUCUGGGAUGAGCAGAGCACUGUGGGGCGCACACAGCAUUCCCACGGGAGCACAGGGGGCUUCCUGCUGCCCCAUCCCAUCCCUGGAACCGGCCAGGAGCGAGUGUGGCCAGGCCAGACCGUGUCAGGGUGUCCAUUGAUUUUCUUUUUUUUUUUUUUUUUUUUUUUUUUUUUUUUUUUUUUUGUGGGGGGGGGGGGGGGGGGGGGGGGGGGGGGGGGGGGCCAGCCGGAGAAAACCAGGAAUCGGCGUCCCUUGUUCUGAGAGCAGUGAGGAGAGUGGAUCACGGGUGGGAGAGGAGCAGCCCUUGUGUAGGGGAAGGGCUGCAUUUCCACGGGGAGCAGCAGGAAAACGCCGCUCAGGGCUGACCCGUGGCUCAGGGAGAGUGUCCCCGUGUCCCAGGGUGGUGGCAGGCGGGUGUCACACAUCCCAGGCUGUCCUUUCCCUGCCCCAGCACAGAGGUCAUUCCAGUGCCUCCAGCCCGUGGAUCAAUAUUUAUUGCUGUGGAAACGGCGGGAGGGGCUGGAAAGGCUCGGAAGGGCUCAUUCCCAGCUUUUCCUCGUCCUCAGGGCACAUCCCGCCACUCCGGCUGCCCCAGGCACAAUGAGGUCACCGGGAAUUCUUUGUCCAUGGAACGACUUCCCUGCUUCUCCUCACCGGGGAUUCACAGCGGGUGAUGGAGCUGGGAUUGUGUGGGAUGUACUCCAGGAUCUCAGCUCCCAUUCCUGGGUGCUGGGAUAACAGCAGGGAUGUGGAGAAAGGGCUGAAGGGUCAGGAAAAACACUGCACUGGAGCAGCAGCUGGGUAAUCCCUCAGGGAGUGGGAGUGGGAGUGGGAGUGGGAGUGGGAGUGGGAACGGGAGUGGGAGUGGGAGUGGGGGUGGGAGUGGGAAUGGGAACGGGAAUGGGAAUGGAAGUGGGAGUGGGAGUGGGAAUGGGAGUGGGAGUGGGAGUGGGAGUGGGAGUGGGAGUGGGAGUGGGAGUGGGAGUGGGAGUGGGAGUGGGAGUGGGAGUGGGAGUGGGAGUGGGAGUGGGAGUGGGAGUGGGAGUGGGAGUGGGAGUGGGAGUGGGA